rnacentral:rRNA from 1 species
GACGACGCUGGCGGCGUGCCUAACACAUGCAAGUCGAGCGGGUUGAAGCGAGGGGUAACUCGAGUUUCUACCUAGCGGCGGACGGGUGAGUAACGCGUGGGCAACCUGCCUCAAGGACUGGGAUAACAGCUCGAAAGGGCUGCUAAUACCGGAUAAGCCUAUGGCCUCGCAUGGGGCCAUGAGCAAAGGGGAAACCCGCCUUGAGAUGGGCCCGCGUCCCAUCAGCUAGUUGGUGAGGUGAAGGGCUCACCAAGGCGACGACGGGUAGCCGGCCUGAGAGGGUGACCGGCCACACUGGGACUGAGACACGGCCCAGACUCCUACGGGGGGCAGCAGUGGGGAAUCUUGCACAAUGGGCGAAAGCCUGAUGCAGCGACGCCGCGUGAGCGAAGAAGGCCUUCGGGUUGUAAAGCUCUGUCUGGAGGGACGAAGGAAGUGACGGUACCUCCGGAGGAAGCCACGGCUAACUACGUG